UUCUUCUUCUCUUCUGUGCAGCCUUUUUUCUCCUCCUCCUCCUCCUUCUUUCUUCUUCUUUUGCCUCCUGCCCUGAAAACUGGACUUUGGACUGCACAUUAGCUUUGGGGCUUAGCCCUGAUGGGCAGUCACGGCGUGGCCGGGCUGCAGCUCUCUGGUCACUGUGAAUUAUCUGCGGUGCAGCAAUGGAAGCCUUGAGGAGCCCACACAGUCUUUGCCCAUCCUGGUGUGGGUGGACUGGAGCUGGGCAGGUGCGGCCAGCGGGCCUGGCCAGCAGAGAAGCAGUGCCCCUGUGGUUUAUGUUUGCGGUUUUGGAGACAUGCUUUCAGGACUCUGGAGCCGGUGUCUGCUCCCUGGCAGGAGGAGCCCCUCCCUGCGGUGGCCGCCAGCUCCACCCCAUCGCCACGUGUGACACCACGUGGCAUCGGCUUCAUCCCUCCCACUGCGCAGCCCGGGGACCAGGCAGAUGCCGGCACUGGGCACGCACUGCUGGUCUCCUCGGAGUCUCUUCCUCCAGCCGGGCUUCCUGCUGGCCAACUGGCUCCAACUGUGAUCCUGGGGCCUCAGCCUCCUGAGCAGCGGGGAUUGCAGUGUGGCCCUUGGGACCCGCUCUUCAUGGGUUUCUGAGCCAUUUCUUCGGUGUUGUGUUUAUCCUGGUGGGAAAAGCAGGUGUGGUGGGGCCUUCACUCCGCAGGAGUGGCCAGGUCCCUGCCGUCCCGUGCUCUGCUCCCUCCACGUCCUCUGUCCCUGCCUGGGGUCUCCUGAGAACACCUGGACCAGACACAGACCUCCCCAGCAGCUCACAUCAGCAGUCAGUGCCGGCCUGCUCAGGGCACCCCGGGGCCUGGAUGUGGGGACAGGGAGAGCCCAGGACACCCCAGGGCCGCUCUGCAGCUAGGAGGGGAGUUGCCAUCCUGUUUCCCAAGUUCGGGGGCCACAGAUUGCCCUGGACGCCCCAAGACGCUGCCCCCCAGAUUGCCCUGGACGCCCCAAGACGCUGCCCCCCACUCCUGCCCUGCACACAGAGCACCUGGACCCCUGCUGGCUUCAGGUGGCUGUGGACAUCUGAGCCUUUGUGGGGUGACAGCUAGUGUUGGGGGGGAGGGGCCCUUGCCUGAUUGGGGCCUGGCUUGUUUCUGGGGACCCCCUCAAAGUGUCAAUGUGUUCAGUUCCCCUCUGGGAAAAGACCUCCCUGUUGAAGGUGCCUUGUCCCCAACCCAGGGCCCGGCCCCUCACCCCCAAAACUGCCAGUGCCUUGUCUGGGAGCCCUGGGCCCCAGACACCCGGGGACCCAGCCAUGGGGACCCCCAAACCUGACUCGAAAGCAAUAAAACGUUGGGUGGGG